AACGAACGCUGGCGGCAGGCCUAACACAUGCAAGUCGAACGCUCCGCAAGGGGAGUGGCGCACGGGUGAGUAACACGUGGGAACCUACCUUCUGGUACGGAACAACCAAGGGAAACUUUGGCUAAGACCGUAUACGACCUCCGGGUGAAAGAUUGAUCGCCGGAAGAGGGGCCCGCGUCCGAUUAGGUAGUUGGUGAGGUAACGGCUCACCAAGCCUUCGAUCGGUAGCUGGUCUGAGAGGAUGACCAGCCACACUGGGACUGAGACACGGCCCAGACUCCUACGGGAGGCAGCAGUGGGGAAUAUUGGACAAUAGGCGCAAGCCUGAUCCAGCCAUGCCGCGUGAGUGAUGAAGGCC
rnacentral:rRNA from 1 species